rnacentral:rRNA from 1 species
UACGUAGGGGGCAAGCGUUGUCCGGAAUUAUUGGGCGUAAAGCGCUCGUAGGUGGUUCGGUAAGUCGGAUGUGAAAUCUCCAGGCUCAACCUGGAGGGGUCAUUCGAUACUGCCGUGACUAGAGUUCGGUAGGGGAGUGUGGAAUUCCUGGUGGAGCGGUGAAAUGCGCAGAUAUCAGGAGGAACACCCGUAGCGAAGGCGGCACUCUGGGCCGAUACUGACACUGAGGAGCGAAAGCGUGGGGAGCGAACAGG